GAUUUUUUUUUUUUUUUUUUUUUACCAUCAGCACCACCUGGGAAGCCCAGGAAGCCCAGAGUAAGGGAGAGAAGGGGUUAAAUGAGAAAAAGACUGACAGUGACAGAUGCUAGAGAGGCGGCAGGAAGGGUUGGUGCUGAAAACUGUCAGGAUUUUGUGUUCUGGCAAACAUGAAUAAAAGAGAAAGUCAGAAAUCAAAUAUGAGAGGGCAGAGUUGGGACUGUUGUAGGCCUAAACCAAAUAGAAUGAGUUUGUACCUCAUUGAGUGAAAGGAGGGCAUGCCAUUUCAUGAUCUAAUAUCAUAGAACACGUGCCACCCCCUUUGGAUAAACUGAAUUGUUAUGGAGAUUGUAUCCCAUGUCAAGAAGUGAAGAAGUGAAGUUGAAAAGAUAAUUGGAAAGUUGGAAGUGAAAAUUUGAUAUCCUGUAGAAUGAAACAGACAACUUUAUUCUCCUCACCUGGAAUAGCCACCAUUUCUGUGUUUACAAUUUUAAAUCUCAGCCAUCCUUCGAUGUCUGUCUCUAAGAUUCCGUUCCCGACUGCAUUAGUUCCCACUCAGCUCCCUCUUCUUGAGUACUCCAGUUAGAGAUGAAGCCCUCAAACAGCUGGCCAAGGCACACUGGUGUGCCUGGAGCCACCAAAAUAUGCUGACCAAUUUUGCCCAUAGAGUGAAAUGUAUUGGUUCUACAUCUGAUUAUACUUACUGUUUCAAGAACAUCUUAUCAGUUAGGAUGUUUAGCUGAGUAGACUGGGCCAUCUUGCAAGGUAAAGUCGGACUCAGCUUGAGGCAUACAGAGGCAUAAAUUAAGCUAGCAUCAAAGAAAACUUACCAUUUUUGCUGGAGCAUGAAAGAUCUUUGUCUCAUGAGGAUCAGGAAAGUGCACAGUUUUGCUCAAACAGCAAUAUAAAAAGUUAAAAGACAGCCAAGUGGGAAGGACACCUACAGAGGGAUAAAUAGACCUCACAAAACAUUACCCGGUAGCAGAGUCUGCUUUGUAGUUGUUGCUGUCUUGUUUUACUGUCAUUUUGAGUAUUUAAAUGUGUGUGCCACUUAAAUAUUAAGGUCUAAUAUUUGAAAGUGUGUUGUGAUCAGGAGGAGGCUGAGAACGUCAUAUGAGUAGCAUUUCUCUUAUUACAUCUAUGGUGCUCCUAGUUACUCUCUGCAGCUUAUGUGCUUUGAAUGGAGACAAAAACCUAAUUUAUAUUAUCUUUGGUGUCUUAGUGGCUACGACUCAGUACAUAUUUGCAGGUUGCUUAUGAAAGCUGCUUUUGACUGUUUUGCUCAAUUAAGUUGAAUUAAAUCAAAGUUUGAAAUUUACUCCCCAAAUUCCUCUGCUAGUUGGCUUAAUAAUCUUAUGUGACAUCUUAACUCUUUCUAUUAAGUCAGUUACCUGGAAAGGGAACACCUUGAGUCAGAGGAUUUAAUGAAAAAAAUCUGUCUAAAUUUCUUGGAAUCUACUACUAAUACCAAAGUGUCCCUGGUGGCUUGGUGGUAAAGAAUCUGCCUGCUAAUGUGGGAGACACAGGUUCAAUUCCUGGGUUGGGAAGAUCCCCUGGAGAAGGAAAUGGCAACCUGCUCCAGUAUUUUUGCCUGGGAAAUCCCAUGAACAGAGGCCUUUGGUGGGCCACAGUCCAUGGGGUCACAAAAGAGUUGGUCAUGACUUGGCGACUAAAUACCAAUGACUACUAACACCAGAAAAAAACUGUGUAAUCUGGUAUUUUCAUCUCAAUACAAGAACAAGUAUGUCUUAAGAAACUCUUAAGCCUCCUCACUGCUCUUCUGGAAUCAGAUAUACUCAUUCAGACUCUCAAUCUGGACAUAGAAACAAGAAACUUGAAAUCAAGCAACAGCUAAUCGAAUUUACCUCAGUGGGGCUCUGAGCUCAAUUUCCUGUCCUCCUAAAUGCUACAGGAGAGAUGAAAACAAACAAACAAACCACAACCCUCUAUUGCAGACAGCUAAGAACCUGACAUGAUAGAGCCCUGUGUUUGUGUUAGAAGGGGCAAAUGACCCAGUGUAAGAUGGUGAUCAGGUGUUCUAAAAUUGCCUCUCUGCAAAGUAAGAUUUUUAAGAUCAACUGAGGCAAACA
ensembl:lncRNA